GAACGCUGGCGGCGUGCCUAAUACAUGACAAGUUGAACGACAACAAAGACACCAGAGCUUGCUCUACCGUUUUUGUUGAGUAGCGAACGGGUGAGUAACGCGUGGGUAACCUGCCUUAUAGCGGGGAUAACUAUUGGAAACGAUAGCUAAUACCGCAUAACAAUAGAGAUUGCAUAAUCUUUAUUUGAAAGUGCCAACUGGUACACUAUGAGAUGGACCCGCGUUGUAUUAGCUAGUUGGUAGUGUAAUGGACUACCAAGGCGAUGAUACAUAGCCGACCUGAGAGGGUGAUCGGCCACAUUGGGACUGAGACACGGCCCAAACUCCUACGGGAGGCAGCAGUAGGGAAUCUUCGGCAAUGGACGAAAGUCUGACCGAGCAACGCCGCGUGAGUGAAGAAGGUUUUCGAAUCGUAAAACUCUGUUGUUAGAGAAGAAUGUUGAUUAGAGUGGAAAAUUAAUCAAGUGACGGUAUCUAACCAGAAAGGGACGGCUAACUACGUG
rnacentral:rRNA from 1 species